ensembl:lncRNA
GGAGGAACCGCUGUACCCAGUGCCUGAGGAGUCACAGCAACAAGGUGUGGAAUCAGAAAAUUGUGCUGGAUUGGAAGAAGCACAAGGAAGAUUUAAUGAUACACUAGUGAAUAAUGAGGCGAGUGCUGUUGAAGAGCUCUCUCUGCAUGAUACUGAAAGAACUGAUUCACCUUUGGAUGUGGUUUCAGCUAGGCCAGUUCCUGUUCCCCGAAAUCCUAGAGAAAAAAGUGCUGCACCCCAUCCUAUGCCACGCAGGACCCAGCGAUCAACUGCUGGAGUUCAUGGUAACCCAAACAGACUGCCUAAAUCUGCUUGUAAUGCUGUGUCCUUCAGUCCUGAUGUCCUUUCCCAAGUGUUAGCGGGUAUGGUCUUGUACACAUCCGGCAAACUACAAACAGUAAUGGAUGAUUAAAGGGUGUUUGCAGUCAUCGAGGACGUUGGCUGUUAGCAGGGGAGAGUGUAACCGGGGCAGGAAUAGCCCAAUAUUUAAUUCCCCUGGUGAUUUCCCUCUUUAAGUUUACGUUAUGAUGCAGUUAUGCGUGCUGUCUCCUUUAAGAGUUUGUGCAUGCGCACGAUAGAGAGAGUGCGCGUCAGAGGGGAACAGAGAGCGCGCUGAUUGAAGCAGCAGUUGUGUGACUGCACCGAGUGGAUGACCUAAGUCAGUGUUUAUAUUAGUGUCUGUUGCUGCAUAUGAGAGAUCUCCGGUGGGGGAGGGGAUUCAGGCCUACUUCGACGGAGAUUGAGCAGGGGAGAACAAGCUUGUGAGAUCGCACGUGCCAGUUUCCACGUGAUUGAUAAUCCGGAGUCUCAUAUAACAGCACAUAUAAGCCACUGCCGUUGUUUUGCACACCUUUAUUGGUUCUUUAACAUUGGUUGCACUAUUUCAAGUCAAAUUGGGGCUUGUGAUCUGGUGUUUUGAUUAGAGGUUAUUAUUGUAAAGGACUUAUUUUUAUUCUUUACAUUUCUUUUUAUACCUUAUUUCACUUUCUGUGCCCAUUGAAGUGAAUUGGGUAACGUCAUUUAUUUUGUUUUAUUAUUGUUUUAUUUGACUUUUCUUGUUUAACUGGAUUGAAGUCCUGAGAAAAUACUAUUUUUCCCCUGAACCAAACAUUAAUGCUGGGUCUCCAUUUGAGGCUCAGUCAAGAAUAAAAGAAUCCUUUUCAGUAGAUGUCUUGGCAUUGUCUUUUCCUUAGUAUAUUAGAAGGACGUCAAGCCGGCCA